rnacentral:rRNA from 1 species
AUUGAACGCUGGCGGCAGGCCUAACACAUGCAAGUCGAACGAGUGGCGGACGGGUGAGUAAUGUCUGGGAAACUGCCUGAUGGAGGGGGAUAACUACUGGAAACGGUAGCUAAUACCGAAUACCAUCGGCUGGGCCCAGAUGGGAUUAGCUAGUGGGUGGGGUAAAGGCUCACCAAGGCGACGAUCCGUAGCUGGUCUGAGAGGAUGACCAGCCACACUGGAACUGAGACACGGUCCAGACUCCUACGGGAGGAAGCAGUGGGGAAUAUUGCACAAUGGGCGAAAGCCUGAUGCAGCCAUGCCGCGUGUAUGAAGAAGGUCUUCGGGUUGUAAAGUACUUUCAGCAGGGAGGCGUUACCCGCAGAAGAAGCACCGGCUAACUCCGUGCCAGCAGCCGCGGUAAUUC